AGCCGUGUGGUCUACACAUAGCGAACUAUUCUUUUGCCUUUUACUAAAGAAUAACAUGUGUUGGCCACACUGAGAGGCAUACGCCGAUAUUUGGAGGCUUCCAUCUCUUUAAUAUGGAGGCU
rnacentral:snRNA from 1 species